rnacentral:rRNA from 1 species
UGGAGCAUGUGGUUUAAUUCGAAGCAACGCGAAGAACCUUACCAGGUCUUGACAUCUAGUGCCAACNUAAGAGAUUAGGCGUUCCCUUCGGGGACACUAAGACAGGUGGUGCAUGGCUGUCGUCAGCUCGUGUCGUGAGAUGUUGGGUUAAGUCCCGCAACGAGCGCAACCCUUAUUAUUAGUUGCCAGCAUUAAGUUGGGCACUCUAAUGAGACUGCCGGUGACAAACCGGAGGAAGGUGGGGAUGACGUCAAGUCAUCAUGCCCCUUAUGACCUGGGCUACACACGUGCUACAAUGGGCAGUACAACGAGGAGCGAACUUGUGAAGGCAAGCGAAUCUCUGAAAGCUGUUCUCAGUUCGGACUGUAGGCUGCAACUCGCCUACACGAAGCUGGAAUCGCUAGUAAUCGCGGAUCAGCACGCCGCGGUGAAUACGUUCCCGGGCCUUGUACACACCGCCCGUCACACCAUGAGAGUUUGUAACACCCAAAGCCGGCCGGAUAACCUAGUUUACUAGGAGUCAGCCGUCUAAGGUGGGACAAAUGAUUAGGGUGAAGUCGUAACAAGGUAACC